rnacentral:rRNA from 1 species
GACAUAAUGCAACUAGCACAAUCUAAUAAUAAAUAGUUCGUUGAAGGCCGUAGGUAUUGGACCGGUAGGCAAAUCCGCCGGUCUAGCUGAAAGCUGAUAGUACCAAGAGCCUUCGGGCAAUUGGAUAGCGCAGGUAAUCAGACUUCCAAGAAAAACCGCUAAGCUCCAGUCUAUAAAAGCCCGUACCGCAAACCGACACAGGUAUCCGGGAAGAGAAUUCUAAGGUGCUCGAGUGAAUCAUGGCUAAGGAACUCGGCAAAAUGGCCCUGUAACUUCGGGAGAAGGGGCGCUCCGCGCAAGCGGAGCCGCAGUGAAAAGGCCCAGGCGACUGUUUAACAAAAACACAUGGCUUUGCAAAAUCGAAAGAUGAGGUAUAAGGCCUGACACCUGCCCGGUGCUGGAAGGUUAAGAGGGGAUGUCAUCCGCAAGGAGAAGCAUUGAAUCGAAGCCCCAGUAAACGGCGGCCGUAACAAUAACGGUCCUAAGGUAGCGAAAUUCCUUGUCGGGUAAGUUCCGACCUGCACGAAUGGUGUAACGAUCUGGGCGCUGUCUCAGCCAUGAGCUCGGUGAAAUUGUGGUCCCGGUGAAGACGCCGGGUACCCGCAACGGGACGGAAAGACCCCAUGCACCUUCACUACAAUUUAACAUUGACAUUGGAUACAGGAUGUGUAGGAUAGGUGGGAGGCUAUGAAGCGGUGUCGCCAGGCAUCGUGGAGCCAACGUUGAAAUACCACCCUUUCUGUAUUCGGUGUCUAAUCCGCCCUCGGCGGAGACAUUGUUUGAUGGGUAGUUUGACUGGGGUGGUCGCCUCCAAAAAGGUAACGGAGGCUUUCAAAGGUAAGCUCAGUACGCUUGGUAACCGUACGGGGAGUGCAAUAGCAUAAGCUUGCUUGACUGUGAGGCAGACAAGCCGAGCAGGGUCGAAAGACGGAUAUAGUGAUCCGGUGGUUCUGCAUGGAAGGGCCAUCGCUCAAAGGAUAAAAGGUACGCUGGGAUAACAGGCUGAUCUCCCCCAAGAGCUCAUAUCGACGGGGAGGUUUGGCACCUCGAUGUCGGCUCGUCACAUCCUGGGGCUGGAGAAGGUCCCAAGGGUUCGGCUGUUCGCCGAUUAAAGUGGCACGCGAGCUGGGUUCAGAACGUCGCGAGACAGUUCGGUCCCUAUCUGUUGUGGGCGUUGGAAUUUUGAGUGGGGCUGACCUUAGUACGAGAGGACCGGGUUGGACUAGCCUCUAGUGAAUCUGUUGUUCCGCCAGGGGCAUUGCAGAGUAGCUACGCUGGGGACAGAUAAGCGCUGAAAGCAUCUAAGUGCGAAACUGGCCACGAGAUGAGAAUUCCAUAUAGGGCCGUAGAAGACUACUACGUCGAUAGGAUACAGAUGUAAAGGUGGCGACACCACAGUCGAGUAUUACUAAUAGCUCAAA